GACGAACGCUGGCGGCGCGCUUAACACAUGCAAGUCGAGCGAGAACCAGGGCUUCGGCCCUGGGGACAGCGGCGAACGGGUGAGUAACACGUGGAUAACCUGCCCUCGGCACCGGGAUAGCCCGGGGAAACCCGGAUUAAUACCGGAUGGCCCUUCCGGCUCACGAGCCGGUCGGAAAAGGUAGCUUCGGCCUCCGGCCGAGGAUGGGUCCGCGGCGGAUUAGCUUGUUGGUGGGGUAACGGCCCACCAAGGCUCCGAUCCGUAGCUGGUCUGAGAGGGCGAGCAGCCACACGGGGACUGAGACACGGCCCAGACUCCUACGGGAGGCAGCAGUGGGGAAGCUUGCGCAAUGGGCGAAAGCCUGACGCAGCGACGCCGCGUGAGGGAGGAAGGCCUUCGGGUUGUAAACCUCUUUCAGGAGGGACGAAGCUACUCGGGUGAAUAGCCCAGAGGGUGACGGUACCUCCAGAAGAAGCCCCGGCUAACUACGUGCCAGCCGCCGCCGUAA
rnacentral:rRNA from 1 species